rnacentral:rRNA from 1 species
UGCGUACCUUUUGUAUAAUGGGUCAGCGACUUAUAUUCUGUAGCAAGGUUAACCGAAUAGGGGAGCCGAAGGGAAACCGAGUCUUAACUGGGCGUUAAGUUGCAGGGUAUAGACCCGAAACCCGGUGAUCUAGCCAUGGGCAGGUUGAAGGUUGGGUAACACUAACUGGAGGACCGAACCGACUAAUGUUGAAAAAUUAGCGGAUGACUUGUGGCUGGGGGUGAAAGGCCAAUCAAACCGGGAGAUAGCUGGUUCUCCCCGAAAGCUAUUUAGGUAGCGCCUCGUGAAUUCAUCUCCGGGGGUAGAGCACUGUUUCGGCAAGGGGGUCAUCCCGACUUACCAACCCGAUGCAAACUGCGAAUACCGGAGAAUGUUAUCACGGGAGACACACGGCGGGUGCUAACGUCCGUCGUGAAGAGGGAAACAACCCAGACCGCCAGCUAAGGUCCCAAAGUCAUGGUUAAGUGGGAAACGAUGUGGGAAGGCCCAGACAGCCAGGAUGUUGGCUUAGAAGCAGCCAUCAUUUAAAGAAAGCGUAAUAGCUCACUGGUCGAGUCGGCCUGCGCGGAAGAUGUAACGGGGCUAAACCAUG